CCCAGGGACGGGGGAGCCUGGUGGGCUGCCGUCUAUGGGGUCGCACAGAGUCGAACACGACUGAAGCGACUUAGCAGCAGCAGCAGUGCCCUUAUUAUUGUGCUGAACUCCUCUCCUCCCUGCCUGUGGUCAUAUGAUACAUACCUGACCAAAGAGAUUGGAUCAGAGAUGGACACAUGACCUAAGUUGUGUUAACAUGACCUCUCCGUGGGACUUGUACAGUGACUCUCAGGAGUUUUCUCGUUUUUCUUAGGCCAAACAGUUCUGAGGGUAAGCAUCAAUGGCCAUCUUAGCCACCAUGUAUAAUCACUUGCCUAAGAAAGAACCUGAGAAAAACAGAGCCAAAAGUUUGAGCAACAGAUUUGAAUUCAUUAUGAAAUUCCUUGAACCCUUUAGUUUGGCUGUACCUGGAGCCAGCUUCAUUGCCUUGAACUUUCCGUUAAGUUUCUGUGGAGAAAUGACUCAUUCCAGGGCUGAAAUAAUGAGAUACGCAGAGGUGUCAGAAAGCAAGGAAGGGCCCCCAAAAAUAACAGAGGUAUGUGAAAAUGACACAGGAAUCAACUUGAAGGAUUGCCCAAUGGCCAAAUCUGGGGCAAAUUUAGCAAUAAAACAAGAUAAAAGCAGGCCUCUAUAUAAUAAUUGGUUAAUAUUCUUCAAGCUUGUCAAGGUUAAGAGAAUAAAGAAAGUUGAGGGGUUUUCCCAGAUGGUGGAGACCAAGAAGAUAUGAAACUUAAAUACAAUGUGAGAUCCUGGGCCAGAAAAGAGAUGAUUACCAAAAUUUGAAUCAGGUGCAGCCAUCCAUCUGGCUAAUACGAGGACAAGCUGUUAAUUUGUGAAUGAAGAAAAGGUCUGCAGACAACAAACAAACGAGCAAGGAGCUUCAGAAGAUAACAUUUACCCCAAUCCUUGAGAAACAAGGGGCCGAGGGUGCCACCCCUGGUUUGGAACUAAGAUCCCACUUGCCUCCCAGGCAAUUAAGCCCAACUAGAGAAGCCUGAGCGGGGCAACUGCUGAGUCUGCAUGCUCUAGAGCUCGCGCUCCACAGGAGAGAAGCUCCAUGCUCUGCAGCUAGAGACACCCCAGGCCCCACAAGGAGGAGCCUGCACGCCAUAAUGAAGUCCAACGCAGCCAAAAAGUGGCCAUGUACAAACCAGGAAGAACGCUCUCACUGAGGACCGGAUCUGCCAGCACCUUGAUCUUGGACUUCCCAGCCUCCAAAACUGUGAGCAACGAAGGUUUGCUGUUUCGAUCCUCCCUCCCGCCCCCAUGAGUCUUGGUAUUUUGUUGUAGCAGCCUGGGCUAAGACAAAAGCAGUCCCAGGAGAACUCGUUGAAUCCAGAUGUCUGGGUGCACUGCCUGAGUUCUGAUUCAGGAGGUCUGGGAGGCGCCUGAGAACAUGCAUUUUUAAUAAGGUCAUUUGAGUUUGGCUGGUUGUGGACUGCAUUUUGAGGACUGUUGCAUUAAAAUGAAACUUGCCCUCAUUACAAAAUAAAAGCUUUCUUUAAUUUAAAAUGUUAGUAUUCUCCACCUAAUAGUUAUCUCUGGUCUCCAGUUUAAAAGGGAUCUGACUCCAGACCUAGAGCUAAAUGAGAGGCAGUAUAAAAUAUACACCUCGUGACCUUUCAUCACUUGCAUCAACAGAGCUGAGCUAAGCACAUUUUCUCUCUUAACAUGUCAUUUAAAAAAAUUUUUUAAAAGCCUUCAAACUACCCCAGGAGUUUAUGGUCAAUCUGGGGAGACCAAAUAUACCCUGCAAAACAUUUUGCAAACUGAGCAAAAUAAACUAUAAAUGCAAAACAGUAUUGCUUAAAGUUCCCAGGUAAGAAUGCCAUCACAUUCCUAAAGGAAGGAAUUGAGAUAUAAAUGCCAAAUGCUCUGAAAAUCUUCCUUUUUAUUACUUCAGUGUUUGUUUUUUUUUUAAUAGCUAGCUAGAGGCAAAUCUUUUGACUUGUGCUCAGCCAGUUGGGGUAAAAUUUUGAGGCACUUCCAUUCACCUCACUGUCUGCCCUAUGUCAUUAAAGUCUGGAAGCACUAUUUCUAGGUGUGAUCUGUGGGUUAUCUGCUGCAGAAUUGCCUUAGAAACCUAUUCAACAUACACAAUAAAAAUGACCUACUAAAAGGGAAUCUUGGAAGAGAGGUCGUGGAAGUAUCCCAUUUAGCUAGCUCCUCCGGUGAAUCUCGUAUAUAUUUGUAUACUUUGAGAGGACACACUCCAGAAACUUCUCCCCAACCCCACCCUGGGAAUCUAACUUUGGGAUUACCAUAUGUUCCUGAAAUGACCCUAUGUGGUAGGCCUUAAGUAAACUUGCAGCUGUAAGGAGAUUUUGUUUCAGUUUGAGACAGUUUGCAGGUGGCACUUGAUCCUGCCUGUGACAGGAGCUUCCUCCUUGCAAGAGAUCUGUGAUGGACAAAAGGCAAGGGAGGCAAGACUCUAAUCCAUACAUUAAGAAAGGUAUCCAAAGGGAGAGGAAAGGAUCAGGUUCUGAGGAUAGUCAGAAAAGCCCUGUUGCUAUUGGUUGGGUCCAGGGAGCUUGACAGACCAGGUUAAGAGUCAGAUUUGUUAUUGUUUGUUUUCUUCAA